UACGGAGGGUCCAAGCGUUAUCCGGAUUUAUUGGGUUUAAAGGGUGCGCAGGCGGAACUUUAAGUCAGUGGUGAAAUCUUGCCGCUUAACGGUAAAUUGCCAUUGAUACUGAAGUUCUUGAAUGUAGUUGAGGUAGGCGGAAUGUGUUGUGUAGCGGUGAAAUGCAUAGAUAUGACACAGAACACCAGUGGCGAAGGCGACUUUCUGGACUACAACUGACGCUGAGGCACGAAAGCGUGGGGAGCAAACAGG
rnacentral:rRNA from 1 species